UGACAUGUGUCAAAUUUUCAUCCACUUAUUAUUUUCCUCAUAAAUUAGCACAAAAUCAGCUCAUUUCUCUUCAUAUGGCCAGCCAAAGCAAGAACAAAGGAAGAAAAGAAAGAACAAGAACCCUAGGGUGAAAAUUCAAGAGAAAAUUGGUGGAUUUCAAGUAAUCAAGCAAUCAAAGGUAAAAUUUCUUGAUUUUGACUUGUGAUUUACCUUUCCCAUACAUUCUUUUGCAUUUUCCAUGGUUUAAUCAUAUGAUUUCAGGAUGGGUAUCUUGCUGGCUAAACACUUAGAGAGAGGUUUUGAUGCUUGAUUUGGUUAGAUUUCAAUGUAUUUUAGUGUUUUUAGUUGAUUGAUGAUGUGUAGCAUGAAAAUCAAGCAAGAAAAAUUCAUGUUCUUCCAUCACCCAUCAUUGGCCGAAUUCUCCAUGUGGAAUAUUGAGGAUGAUUUUGAUUUUAUUUCAAGUGAUUUGGUUAGGAAUUAGUGAUUUAUGGUGUGAGAAUCAAGUAGGAAAAAUUAUAGUGCUGAUGCACCCACCAUGGCCGAAUAUUCCAAGAGAAAAUGUGAGGAUGAUUUUACCAUAUUUCAAGUUAUUUAAUUUGCGUUUGAUGAUUUGAAGUAUCGGGAGAGAAAUGAAAUUAUUUGGAGUUAAAUUGGACAUAUUGGCCAAUUAAUCAGGCGAUAGAUCGAAUUAGGCCAAUACCGUUUUAUUUAGGUACAUAAUUGAAUUUAUAUUGAACACCGUAUUUAGAUAGUUACCCGAGUAUUUCAUAUCCCAUUUCAUGCAUUAGUAUAGAGCCUGAAUUGGUUUUAUAACAAUUUAACACAAAUGUAGUAAAUGGCUUAUUCUGCAUUAUGUCUAGGUGGUGAGCAUUAUGGCAAAAGUAAAGAGAUAGUACCCAAGGAUCAAGAAUCGGAGUACUCGAAAUUCGACUCCCGAAAUAGUGAGUAACCUUACUAUCAUCUUAGUUAUCUAAAGUAAUUUUUAUUCAUUUUUGUGAUUUUAUAAAAAAAUGUGUUUAAAUGGUAAAUCUUUAGGUUUUAUAAAGAAAAUGUGUUUAAAUGAAAUGAUUUUAUAAAAUUGUCUUGAAAUUGAAAGGUGGUUUUGAAAAUGGAGUAAUUUGAGACUAAUUGCUGUGUUAGAAAUAUUGGUUUGAAUUGAAUGGCUUAUGAUAAUAUUGGCAUGAAUGAUUGAAUUGGUAAAUGUACUAAAAAUGUAUAAACUGUUGAUUUGCCUUGAGAGGCUGUAAAAUAAAAUAAUUGCCAUGUCAUGCUGUUGAAUUUUAUUGAAUUGAUGGGUUAUAAAUUGGUCGCUGCAGUGGACGGGUUCCGUGGACCAGCCUAUUAGAGGGGUACGGUAACUCUAUUAUAUUCAUACCUCAGUAUGAAAAGGGCAGUUGGAUAACUCCUUAGGUUAAAACUUUAGAGUUCACUUCACGCCAAACCACCACGUGAGGGUGAACUCAACCAACGCCAAGGAACGACUAUGUUUUCAAAAUAAAAACAUGAUUUAUGCAUACAUGACUUUUUAACAACCUUGGCGGACUCGGUUUGGAUAGCCCUUGGCCAAAGUCUCCCUGAUAACUGAGUAUGAGAAUGAUUUUGGCACGAGCCAAACUUUUCAGGAAAUCAUAAGCCUCGUUGUUCAAUUUGGUGAAAUGAAUCUAUUUUAUCUUAUUCAAAUUAGUUCAAAAUGCUGAGAAUCAUUUUUAUGCUAAUCUAUUUUAUCUAUCUCCAUUUACUCAGCUUUAGAUAUUUUAGAUGGUAUUUGUUUACUCACUGGGAUUAUAUAAUCUCACCACCCUCCUUUCCACCGAUUUCAGGCUCAGGAUAGUCGGUAGAUAGCUCACUUUGUUGAGGGCUAUAGUUGGACUUGCAUCCUCAAAAACUGUAAGUUUACCGCUUUUGAUACUUUUGGUCGUUCGUGGGCCCAUGUGUCACUGUAAAUUAAAUUUUAUACUUUGGU
rnacentral:lncRNA from 1 species